rnacentral:rRNA from 1 species
CGUGUAGGCGGUUUUUUAAGUCUGAUGUGAAAGCCCCGGGCUCAACCCGGGAAGUGCAUUGGAUACUGGGAGACUUGAAUACGGGAGAGGGUAGUGGAAUUCCUAGUGUAGGAGUGAAAUCCGUAGAUAUUAGGAGGAACACCGGUGGCGAAGGCGGCUACCUGGACCGAUAUUGACGCUGAGACGCGAAAGCGUGGGGAGCAAACAGGUAUUAGAUACCCUGGUAGUCCACGCCGUAAACGAUGAGAACUAGGUGUUGCGGGUAUUGACCCCUGCAGUGCCGCAGCUAACGCAUUAAGUUCUCCGCCUGGGAAGUACGGUCGCAAGACUAAA